rnacentral:rRNA from 1 species
AAGCAGGGGAUCGUAAGACCUUGCGCUUUUGGAGUGGCCGAUGCCUGAUUAGCUAGUUGGUGGGGUAAGGGCCUACCAAGGCGACGAUCAGUAGUUGGUCUGAGAGGACGACCAGCCACACUGGGACUGAGACACGGCCCAGACUCCUACGGGAGGCAGCAGUGGGGAAUUUUGGACAAUGGGCGGAAGCCUGAUCCAGCAAUGCCGCGUGAGUGAAGAAGGCCUUCGGGUUGUAAAGCUCUUUCAGUCGAGAAGAAAAGGUUGCGACUAAUAAUCGCAACUUAUGACGGUAUCGACAGAAGAAGCACCGGCUAACUACGUGCCAGCAGCCGCGGUAAUACGUAGGGUGCGAGCGUUAAUCGGAAUUACUGGGCGUAAAGGGUGCGCAGGCGGCUCUGUAAGUCAGAUGUGAAAUCCCCGGGCUUAACCUGGGAAUUGCGUUUGAAACUACAAAGCUUAG